GGGGAUUUAGCUCAGUGGUAGAGUGCUUGCCUUGCAAGUGCAAGGCCCUGGGUUCAGUCCUCA
rnacentral:tRNA from 1 species